UACAGAGACCCCGAGCAUUAUCCGGAAUUAUUGGGCGUAAAGGGCAAGCAGCCGGUCGCGUUAGUCUGAUGUCAAACCAUGGGGCCCAACCCCAUGCCUGCAUCGGAAACGGCGCGGCUUGAGUGGAUGAGAGGUGGGCGGAACAUACGGUGUAGGGGUGAAAUCCACUGAUAUCGUAUGGAACACCAAAAGCGAAGGCAGCCCACUAGCGUCUCACUGACGGUCAAUUGCGAAAGCGUGGGGAUCAAAAAGG
rnacentral:rRNA from 1 species